UACGUAGGGGGCAAGCGUUGUCCGGAAUCAUUGGGCGUAAAGCGCGCGUAGGCGGCCCCGUAAGUCCGCUGUGAAAGUCAAAGGCUCAACCUUUGAAAGCCGGUGGAUACUGUGGGGCUAGAGUCCGGAAGAGGCGAGUGGAAUUCCUGGUGUAGCGGUGGAAUGCGCAGAUAUCAGGAGGAACACCAAUAGCGAAGGCAGCUCGCUGGGACGGUACUGACGCUAAGGCGCGAAAGCGUGGAGAGCGAACAGG
rnacentral:rRNA from 1 species